UGCGAAGCACUGUCAGUGUCAGCUGAGGUAGAAAGAAUCUCUUUUGCUAGAGGAGACUGUCACAUCUGCUCUUUCCUCUUUCCUUACUUCCCCUGGAGUCAUGACACCGUUUCCAGCGCAUGGACUGUGACAGGAACCUAUUGAGGGGAGAUUUGGGAUAGAGAAGUUGAAAAGAAGCUUAACAAACGAAGACGAUGACGAAGUCGUGUUUAUUAUCUGGUUUCGUCUACACGUUGUUCUGCGUAUUCGUUUUGUCAUUUUGUGUACAAUUUUAUCCUUGCUGCUUAUCUUGCUGUGAUGUAGAUGCUGUUCUGUUCUGAAAUUUUUCUGCAUAUGUAUAGUCGAACAACACCUAUCACUAUGCCUGACCAAGUAACUCAUAAUACUCGAAAGCGUCGCGCAUCUGAAGGCAGCCACUCACCAGUACGACAAAAGCGAACUGCAACCCUUAAAGAAAAUAAAAACAAAGCCACCGUGAACAGCUUAGCGAAUUUAUGCACUUCUGCAUUAAUACAAACCAUCGCAACAUCAAUUUCUCACUUAUCCGCCAUACAAAAAAAUCCGGAGCACGAACCCCUCGCAAAUUACGAUUUAGUGCCCAUUUUCGACCCGUUGACAUCGAACCUAUCCGUCACCAGAUGGUUGAAUAGAAUCGAUGAUAUGAGUACCAUGUUUCACUGGACGCCACCGAUGACCAUUUAUGCAGCACUGUCAAGAUUAGAAGGUGUAGCGAAAACUUGGUACGAAGGGCUGAACUCUGUAAAUCACACUUGGCCCGAAUGGAAGGAGUUGAUGCGAAACGCUUUUCCUGAAAGAGAUUAUUGUCAAAUGCUAAGCGAAAUGGUUGUUAGGAAGAAGCGUCCUGAUGAAACGUACAUGCAAUAUGUUCAUGAAAAGAUGGUUUUAAUUAAUAUGUGUGAAUUAGACGAGAAGAAAGCUGUAUCACUUCUGAUUGAUGGUAUAGAAGAUACAAAUGUAAAAACUAUGGCAUAUGCUGGACAUCAUGAAAAUCCAUGGAGUUUACUUUCGUACCUAAGUAGUGAGUAGAAUCAAAACUCCUGAAGAAUCUCCUUCAAACAAAAGUUCCUCAAAUUUUUCCUCUUCUCAAACGUCUGCAAAUUGUUCGUCGUUGGGAGAUGUCUCGAUGCGUCAAAAAUGCCUUGUUUGAGUGUCUUAAUCUGUGGCAAGCGAGGGCAUUACGCCAAGCAUUGUCAGUCAUCGCAGUAAAGGGGCUUGUUUGCAUGAUGCACAAACACAGAUGCAUUUAAUAAGUAUUUACCUAGUGCAUUUUUUGAUGGCCAUUUUUCUCAUUUAUUCCUAGUAUGUAAUUUGUAAGAGGAGUUUUGUAAAUUUUGAAAAAUAAAAGAUGAAGAUGUUGAA